rnacentral:rRNA from 1 species
AUACGUAGGGUGCGAGCGUUGUCCGGAAUUACUGGGCGUAAAGAGCUCGUAGGUGGUUUGUCGCGUCGUCUGUGAAAUUCCGGGGCUUAACUCCGGGCGUGCAGGCGAUACGGGCAUAACUUGAGUACUGUAGGGGAGACUGGAAUUCCUGGUGUAGCGGUGAAAUGCGCAGAUAUCAGGAGGAACACCGGUGGCGAAGGCGGGUCUCUGGGCAGUAACUGACGCUGAGGAGCGAAAGCAUGGGUAGCGAACAGGAUUAGAUACCCUGGUAGUCCAUGCCGUAAACGGUGGGCGCUAGGUGUAGGGGUCUUCCACGACUUCUGUGCCGUAGCUAACGCAUUAAGCGCCCCGCCUGGGGAGUACGGCCGCAAGGCUAAAACUUAAAUGAAUUGGCGGGG